rnacentral:lncRNA from 1 species
GCCUAUCGAAUACAGAACCUUUAGGAGUGGGACCCAGGAGCUCUGUUAACAAGGCCUCCAGGUGAUUUGGAACACAGAAACCAGGAACCUUCAGUUACUCCAGCAUGAAGGAAUCAACUGCUAUAGAGACCACAUUCCCUGGAGUUUUAUAAACUAUGCUGGUCAUCAGAUCACUUUUAGACAUCAUGUAAGUGUUGUUUUCACGUAUAACCAACCAAUGACUUUCAUGAUAGUCACAAACAAAAACAGAAUAGUGCUUUCCCCAAAUGGAAAUGUUUUAUGGUUCUGUCUUCUAGUUCCCUGAGACAGACACAUCUGAAGAUGCCACUCUGAAUGCCACCAUGUAAGGAAGCCUGUCCAGUCUAUCAGGGGAAAAGGCGCCACGUGGAUAGAAAUCAAACCAAAAUGCCACAGCCAAAGGCUGGCACCAAGGCCAGGCAUGUGACCAAGGCAUCUUAAACCUCCCAGCCUCAAGCUACUGUACGUAGCCACAUGAGUGAGCACAAGCAGAAUCAGCAAAGGGACACUCCAGCAAACCCACAGAAUGGUGAGAAAAAAUAAAUGAUGGUUGUUGUAAGCCA